AACGAACGCUGGCGGCAUGCCUAACACAUGCAAGUCGAACGAGACCUUCGGGUCUAGUGGCGCACGGGUGCGUAACGCGUGGGAACCUGCCCUUAGGUUCGGAAUAACUCCCCGAAAGGGGUGCUAAUACCGGAUAAUGUCUUCGGACCAAAGAUUUAUCGCCUUUGGAUGGGCCCGCGUUGGAUUAGCUAGUUGGUAGGGUAAAAGCCUACCAAGGCGACGAUCCAUAGCUGGUCUGAGAGGAUGAUCAGCCACACUGGGACUGAGACACGGCCCAGACUCCUACGGGAGGCAGCAGUGGGGAAUAUUGGACAAUGGGCGAAAGCCUGAUCCGGCAAUGCCGCGUGAGUGAUGAAGGCCUUAGGGUUGUAAAGCUCUUUUACCCGGGAUGAUAAUGACAGUACCGGGAGAAUAAGCGCCGGCUAACUCCGUG
rnacentral:rRNA from 1 species